GCUCCAGUGGCCUUGUGGUUAGAGCGUCCACCUCAGAUGCGGGAGGUCGUGGGUUUGAUCCCCAGUUGAAUCA